rnacentral:rRNA from 1 species
UACGGGGGGGGUAAGCGUUGUUCGGAAUUACUGGGCGUAAAGGGCUCGUAGGCGGCCAACUAAGUCAGACGUGAAAUCCCCAGGCUUAACUUGGGAACUGCGUCUGAUACUGGGAGGCUUGAGUGCGGGAGAGGGAUGUGGAAUUCCAGGUGUAGCGGUGAAAUGCGUAGAUAUCUGGAGGAACACCGGUGGCGAAGGCGGCAUCCUGGACCGACACUGACGCCGAGGCGCGAAAGCUAGGGGAGCAAACGGG